rnacentral:lncRNA from 1 species
UGUCGCGUAUUUUAAUUUCCGGAUCUGCGCAGAACACAUAACUCUACUUCCUUCUUCCGGUCUUGUUGUCGUGAGACUUUGAUUAGUCUAGUAAAAUAUAGGAACUCAAGGAACACAAUACCAAUAUUUCAUUUUUAAUCAUUCUUUGUCUUUGGUAAUAUGAGGCAGGCAUAACCUGUGAAUGGGGACGAAGUCUGUAUGUAUUGUUUUUUAACUUCAAACAUGUUAAUAAAGGACACGGAAAUACCGUAACGUUCCCGAUUUUGGUUCUGUUGUAAGGGGUUUAGCUGUGACGUUUCUUAAGUUAUGACGUCAUAUUCAAUGUAAACAAAAGAAACGCUUCCAUCAGGUAACGUUUUUUUCAAAUCAAACAAUUAUUAAAAAUGAAACUGUAUUGAGUUCCAAUCUUAUAUUUUACAAGACUGAUAAAUAUAAUUUUUUUUCAAAGUCUCAUGCAAACAAGACAGAUUUCUGCGCAAAUGCGUGGGAAACCGGAACAGGAACUAGAUCUGAAAAAAAAAGUUAACGAUUUUGAGUUCAUUAGUAGAAUGAAAAAUUCGGGAAAUUUUCCCGAUUUUUUUAAAAAAAAAUUUUAUUGAUUUUUCUACCGUAAUUGGGGACUUCGUCCCCAUAUGAAUAAACGUUACCUGAUGCAUUGCGUUUCUUUGUUUACAUUGAACAUGACGUCAUAACUUAAAUAACGUCACAAGUAAAAUCCCUAACAACAGAACCAAAAUCGGAAACGUUAUGGUAUUUCCGUUUCUUUUUUUAACAAAUAUUUAAGUUACAAAAAUUAAUUUAAACAAACUUCGUCCCCAUUCACAGGUAAUGCCUGCCUCAUAUUAUGGGGACGAAGUCCCCUAUAACAGUAGAAAAUUCAAUAAAAAAAAAAAAAAAAAAAAAAAAUCGGGAAAAUUUCCCGAAUUUUUCAUUGUACUAAUGAACUCAAAAUCGUUCAAUUUUUUUUUGUCGCGUUUUUUAAUUUCCGGAUCUGCGCAGAACACAUAACUCUACUUCCUUCUUCCGGUCUUGUUGUAAUGAGACUUUGAUUAGUCUAGUAAAAUAUAGGAACUCAAGGAACACAAUACCAAUAUUUCAUUUUUAAUCAUUCUUUGUCUUUGGUAUGAAUAAACGUUACCUGAUGCAUUGCGUUUCUUUGUUUACAUUGAACAUGACGUCAUAACUUAAAUAACGUUACAAGUAAAAUCCCUAACAACAGAACCAAAAUCGGAAACGUUACGGUAUUUCCGUUUCUUUAUUUUAACAAAUAUUUAAGU